AUCAGGGGUCAGAUCAUACUUGGGGGCUGCUUGAGAGACAGUACAACUUUAAAUGGCUUCUGAAUGCAGGAUUUUCACUGCUUUCCUGUACACAGCAGGAUCCUGGUGUGGAACUGAGACAAAAAGAGGAGAGGAUUGACGUGUACACUGAUGGCCGAGGAAGCUGCUGAGUGAUAACAAACACCUACGUAACAUCUGCACUAUGGGAACUGGCUGCCUUGCAGGUGAGGGUGAAAGUCGUCCAGGAGUCUGGAGACAGCUGGGGAAUCUGACUGAGGAUCUACAGGCUUUGGCUUCGUGUCAUGUGGGACGUCAGGUUACGUUUAUUACUCAGGAUGAGGAAAACCACAAAUUGUACUCUGUCCUGAGCAGAGAGGGAACUGAGAGAUGGAUUGCAUCAUUUAUAGGCCAUCUGUGACAAGCACACAUCCUGUGGAGGAGUCUACCCUGCCACGUCAAAGAGAAAAAUUACACCCAACCACUUCGUGUCAGCAACGGACAGAAUUUACUCAUGGUCCCGUGCUUGAUUCUCUCUGAAGGGACAGUGGGCCACUUCCUGAGACUCUGGUACGGGUCACUUGCCACCAGUGACUGUUGUUCUGAUCCCAGCUGAUGUUAUUACUGGUCAGGUCAAUAGCAGACUGAAAUCUGGCUUGGAAGGUCAUAUUUUGUUUGAUUGUUCGUUUUUACGAGCUGAUCUUUCAGUGAAAUGAAGAAAAUAACAGAAUAAACCAAACUAUUUACAGACAAUGCAAGCUUGAAACACAUGGUAAAAUACAAUCCCAGUAAUCCCAACAGCACUCUUUCACAUAAUCACACCAAGAGAACCUCUUUACCUGCUACUUGUAUAGGACCUAACAUAAUUGAUACAGGUAAAUUCUUCACUAAGUUUUCACACAACUGAGCUGAGACUUUCUCAGUUUCACAAUCCCUUCAGGGUUUUAGCCAACACUUCUAGUCUGGAACUUUCAAAGUAAACUCCUCACACCGAAGCAUUUUAU